CAACAGAGGGAAGCAAGACCGCGAGGUGGAGCAAAUCCCUAAAAGCCAUCCCAGUUCGGAUUGCAGGCUGCAACCCGCCUGUAUGAAGUUGGAAUCGCUAGUAAUCGCGGAUCAGCAUGCCGCGGUGAAUACGUUCCCGGGCCUUGUACACACCGCCCGUCACACCAUGAGAGUCGGGAACACCCGAAGUCCGUAGCCUAACCGCAAGGGGGGCGCGGCCGAAGGUGGGUUCGAUAAUUGGGGUGAAGUCGUAACAAGGUACC
rnacentral:rRNA from 1 species